UUAUCCCCUUUGUACUUAAUGGAGUUGAUCUAAAUGCGAAUGGAGGCUCUGACCACAAGUCACAGAUUCAGAUGUUCCCAAAGAAAGCAAUGGAGAGCCUUAAUGAAAUUAGGUGUUAAUUACUAAGUAACCUCCAACUGCAUCUAU